AUGGAACGCUGGCGGCAGGCCUAACACAUGCAAGUCGAACGAGUGGAGGACGGGUGAGUAAUGUAUGGGAAACUGCCAGAUGGAGGGGGGUAACUACUGGAAACGGUAGCUAAAACCGCAUACACUCGGAUGUGCCCAGAUGGGAUUAGCUAGUAGGUGGGGUAAAGGCUCACCUAGGCGAAGAUCCCUAGCUGGGUUGAGAGGAUGACCAUCCACACGGGAACUGAGACACGGGCCAGAGUCCUACGGGAGGCAGCAGUGGGGAAUAUUUCACAAUGGGCGCAAGCCUGAUGCAGCCAUGCCGCGUGUAUGAAGAAGGCCUUCGGGUUUUAAAGUACUUUCAGCGGGGAGGCGUUACCCGCAGAAUAAGCACCGGCUAACUCCGUGCCAGCAGCCGCGGUAAUUC
rnacentral:rRNA from 1 species